rnacentral:rRNA from 1 species
AUUGCAGGCGGCAGCUAUACAUGCAGUCGUACGCUUCUUUUUCCACCGGAGCUUGCUCCACCGGAAAAAGAAGAGUGGCGAACGGGUGAGUAACACGUGGGUAACCUGCCCAUCAGAAGGGGAUAACACUUGGAAACAGGUGCUAAUACCGUAUAACAAUCGAAACCGCAUGGUUUUGAUUUGAAAGGCGCUUUCGGGUGUCGCUGAUGGAUGGACCCGCGGUGCAUUAGCUAGUUGGUGAGGUAACGGCUCACCAAGGCCACGAUGCAUAGCCGACCUGAGAGGGUGAUCGGCCACAUUGGGACUGAGACACGGCCCAAACUCCUACGGGAGGCAGCAGUAGGGAAUCUUCGGCAAUGGACGAAAGUCUGACCGAGCAACGCCGCGUGAGUGAAGAAGGUUUUCGGAUCGUAAAACUCUGUUGUUAGAGAAGAACAAGGAUGAGAGUAACUGUUCAUCCCUUGACGGUAUCUAACCAGAAAGCCACGGCUAACUACGUGCCAGCAGCCGCGGUAAUACGUAGGUGGCAAGCGUUGUCCGGAUUUAUUGGGCGUAAAGCGAGCGCAGGCGGUUUCUUAAGUCUGAUGUGAAAGCCCCCGGCUCAACCGGGGAGGGUCAUUGGAAACUGGGAGACUUGAGUGCAGAAGAGGAGAGUGGAAUUCCAUGUGUAGCGGUGAAAUGCGUAGAUAUAUGGAGGAACACCAGUGGCGAAGGCGGCUCUCUGGUCUGUAACUGACGCUGAGGCUCGAAAGCGUGGGGAGCAAACAGGAUUAGAUACCCUGGUAGUCCACGCCGUAAACGAUGAGUGCUAAGUGUUGGAGGGUUUCCGCCCUUCAGUGCUGCAGCUAACGCAUUAAGCACUCCGCCUGGGGAGUACGACCGCAAGGUUGAAACUCAAAGGAAUUGACGGGGGCCCGCACAAGCGGUGGAGCAUGUGGUUUAAUUCGAAGCAACGCGAAGAACCUUACCAGGUCUUGACAUCCUUUGAUCACUCUAGAGAUAGAGCUUCCCCUUCGGGGGCAAAGUGACAGUGGUGCAUGAUUGUCGUCAGCUCGUGUCGUGAGAUGUUGGGUUAAGUCCCGCAACGAGCGCAACCC